rnacentral:rRNA from 1 species
GACGAACCGUGCGAACGUUAUUCGGAAUCACUGGGCUUAAAGCGCGUGUAGGCGGGUCGGCACGUCGGUCGCUGAAAGCCCCCGGCUCAACCGGGGAACGGGCGCCGAUACGACCGUCCUGGAGGGACGUAGGGGGACCUGGAACUUCCGGUGGAGCGGUGAAAUGCGUUGAGAUCGGAAGGAACGCCCGUGGCGAAAGCGAGGUCCUGGACGUUUUCUGACGCUGAGACGCGAAAGCCAGGGGAGCGAACGGG